GCAUAUAUAACUUAUGAAAAGCAUAUUUAGUGACAUGGGUCCUUUUCAUAUAUAAAUUAUGAAAAGCAUAUUUAGUGACAUGAGAAAGCAAGUCAAUCAAGAACACAGCCGGAGACAACCCAUCUCCAAGGAUAAGUAUACACUCUUCUUACACUUCCUGGACUCUUCAGUUUAUGGCUCUUCUGUGGGUUCCCGACAUACAGUUCUUAGGAACUUGCUUCUUGGUUUCCUGUAAUCCUGGUUAAAGCUGGACUUUGUGAUUAAGCAAUUACUUAACUCUAAUCAUUCAUAUUAUUCUAUUUGACCCUUCCACCAGAGAUAGAGAUGGGUGGCUUCAUGAAUUUGUACUAAGGCUCAUGUUAAUUCCAAGAAGGAGCGAAAGAGUUUCUCUUUUUAACGUGUUGAUAAUUUGCCAACACUGUUGAACAGGUCUGUCAUGUAUUCAUGAAAGCAAUAAAAUUCAACUCCAAUUUGGUCGCAUCAUUUGUCUAUAGAAGCCUGGCAACUUCUCUGAAUGGUAGUUUGUGACUUUCCAACCAAUACCCAUUUUGCAGAAACCCAAGAAGAUAUCAAAUAGUGUUGUAACUCACAGAAUGAACACAAAAAAUAAA